rnacentral:piRNA from 1 species
UUACCUAGUGGUGGCGGUCACGCUAAC